AUUGAACGCUGGCGGCAGGCCUAGCACAUGCAAGUCGAGCGGAUGAAGGGAGCUUGCUCCUGGAUUCAGCGGCGGACGGGUGAGUAAUGCCUAGGAAUCUGCCUGGUAGUGGGAGAUAACGUCCGGAAACGGGCGCUAAUACCGCAUACGUCCUGAGGGAGAAAGUGGGGGAUCUUCGGACCUCACGCUAUCAGAUGAGCCUAGGUCGGAUUAGCUAGUUGGUGGGGUAAAGGCCUACCAAGGCGACGAUCCGUAACUGGUCUGAGAGGAUGAUCAGUCACACUGGAACUGAGACACGGUCCAGACUCCUACGGGAGGCAGCAGUGGGGAAUAUUGGACAAUGGGCGAAAGCCUGAUCCAGCCAUGCCGCGUGUGUGAAGAAGGUCUUCGGAUUGUAAAGCACUUUAAGUUGGGAGGAAGGGCAGUAAGUUAAUACCUUGCUGUUUUGACGUUACCAACAGAAUAAGCACCGGCUAACUUCGUG
rnacentral:rRNA from 1 species